GAUGAACGCUGGCGGCGUGCCUAAUACAUGCAAGUCGAGCGAACAGACGAGGAGCUUGCUCCUCUUACGUUAGCGGCGGACGGGUGAGUAACACGUGGAUAACGUACCUAUAAGACUGGGAUAACUUCGGGAAACCGGAGCUAAUACCGGAUAAUAUAUUGAACCGCAUGGUUCAAUAGUGAAAGACGGUUUUGCUGUCACUUAUAGAUGGAUCCGCGCCGCAUUAGCUAGUUGGUAAGGUAACGGCUUACCAAGGCAACGAUGCGUAGCCGACCUGAGAGGGUGAUCGGCCACACUGGAACUGAGACACGGUCCAGACUCCUACGGGAGGCAGCAGUAGGGAAUCUUCCGCAAUGGGCGAAAGCCUGACGGAGCAACGCCGCGUGAGUGAUGAAGGUCUUCGGAUCGUAAAACUCUGUUAUUAGGGAAGAACAAAUGUGUAAGUAACUAUGCACGUCUUGACGGUACCUAAUCAGAAAGCCACGGCUAACUACGUG
rnacentral:rRNA from 1 species